rfam:Asian citrus Psyllid, Diaphorina citri - Florida Strain, whole genome shotgun sequence.
ACUGACGAUAUAUCACGUUUUCACUAUAGCACCAGUUCCCAGUGGAUCACUGAAGUUAAGAUACGUUGCGCGUGGUUAGUCUACGAAUGGGUGACCAUCUGGGUUAUCUCGUGCCGCUGGCU